UAUAACAUCCAUUGCAUUGAUACACCCGAUCCCCCCGAUCUCGUAAGUUAAGCAACGUGCAGUCCAGUCAGUACAUUGUGUACUUAGAUGGGAGACCACCAAGGAACCCUGGAUGCUGUAGUCU
rnacentral:rRNA from 1 species